rnacentral:rRNA from 1 species
CAGAGGGGGCAAGCGUUGUUCGGAAUUACUGGGCGUAAAGGGCGCGUAGGCGGCCUUCUAAGUCGAACGUGAAAUCCCCGGGCUCAACCCGGGAACUGCGUCCGAUACUGGAAGGCUCGAAUCCGGGAGAGGGAUGUGGAAUUCCAGGUGUAGCGGUGAAAUGCGUAGAUAUCUGGAGGAACACCGGUGGCGAAGGCGACAUCCUGGACCGGUAUUGACGCUGAGGCGCGAAAGCCAGGGGAGCAAACGGGAUUAGAUACCCCGGUAGUCCUGGCCCUAAACGAUGAAUGCUUGGUGUGGCGGGUAUCGAUCCCUGCCGUGCCGAAGCUAACGCAUUAAGCAUUCCGCCUGGGGAGUACGGUCGCAAGGCUG